AGUUAGCUGUCGAGUCCCAAAUAGGACGAAAUUCCAGUUAUCCUGGAU
rnacentral:hammerhead_ribozyme from 1 species